GAUCAUGGCUCAGAUUGAACGCUGGCGGCAGGCCUAACACAUGCAAGUCGAGCGGUAACAGAUCUAGCUUGCUAGAUGCUGACGAGCGGCGGACGGGUGAGUAACGCGUAGGAAUUUGCCUGAUAGAGGGGGAUAGCCCGGGGAAACUCGGAUUAAUACCGCAUACGCUCUACGGAGGAAAGCAGGGGAUCUUCGGACCUUGCGCUAUCAGAUAAGCCUGCGUGGGAUUAGCUAGUUGGUGAGGUAAAGGCUCACCAAGGCGACGAUCUCUAGCUGGUCUGAGAGGAUGAUCAGCCACACUGGAACUGAGACACGGUCCAGACUCCUACGGGAGGCAGCAGUGGGGAAUAUUGCACAAU
rnacentral:rRNA from 1 species